AGGACGAACGCUGGCGGCGUGCUUAACACAUGCAAGUCGAGCGGUAAGGCCUUUCGGGGUACACGAGCGGCGAACGGGUGAGUAACACGUGGGUGAUCUGCCCUGCACUCUGGGAUAAGCCUGGGAAACUGGGUCUAAUACCGGAUAUGACCUGCUCUCGCAUGGGGGUGGGUGGAAAGAUUUAUCGGUGCAGGAUGGGCCCGCGGCCUAUCAGCUUGUUGGUGGGGUAAUGGCCUACCAAGGCGACGACGGGUAGCCGACCUGAGAGGGUGACCGGCCACACUGGGACUGAGACACGGCCCAGACUCCUACGGGAGGCAGCAGUGGGGAAUAUUGCACAAUGGGCGAAAGCCUGAUGCAGCGACGCCGCGUGAGGAUGAAGGCCUUCGGGUUGUAAACCGUCUUUCAGCAGGACGAAGCGCAAGUGACGGUACCUGCAGAAGAAGCACCGGCUAACUACGUGCCAGCAGCCGCGGU
rnacentral:rRNA from 1 species